GAGGGUGUAGCUCAGUGGUAGAGCACUUGCCUGGCAUGUGUGAGGCACUGGAUUCAAUCCCCAGCACCACCU
rnacentral:tRNA from 1 species